rnacentral:rRNA from 1 species
GACGAACGCUGGCGGCGUGCUUAACACAUGCAAGUCGAGCGGUAAGGCCCUUUCGGGGGUACACGAGCGGCGAACGGGUGAGUAACACGUGGGUGACCUGCCCUCAGCUCUGGGAUAAGCCCGGGAAACUGGGUCUAAUACCGGAUAUGACUCCAUGACGCAUGUUGUGGGGUGGAAAGCCUUGUGCGGCUGAGGAUGGGCCCGCGGCCCAUCAGCUCGUUGGUGGGGUGAUGGCCUACCAAGGCGACGACGGGUAGCCGGCCUGAGAGGGCGACCGGCCACACUGGGACUGAGACACGGCCCAGACUCCUACGGGAGGCAGCAGUGGGGAAUCUUGCGCAAUGGGCGAAAGCCUGACGCAGCGACG